rnacentral:rRNA from 1 species
UACGUAGGGGGCAAGCGUUGUCCGGAAUCAUUGGGCGUAAAGCGCGUGUAGGCGGUUCGUCGCGUCGGCUGUGAAAUCCCGAGGCUCAACCUCGGGUCUGCAGUCGAUACGGGCGGACUGGAGUUCGGAAGGGGCAACUGGAAUUCUCGGUGUAGCGGUGAAAUGCGUAGAUAUCGAGAGGAACACCUGCGGCGAAGGCGGGUUGCUGGGCCGACACUGACGCUGAUGCGCGAAAGCCAGGGGAGCGAACGGG